UACGAAGGGGGCUAGCGUUUGUUCGGAAUUACUGGGCGUAAAGCGUGCGCAGGCGGUUGUGUAAGACAGAUGUGAAAUCCCCGGGCUCAACCUGGGAAUUGCGAUGGAGACUGCAAGGCUAGAAUCUGGCAGAGGGGGGUAGAAUUCCACGUGUAGCAGUGAAAUGCGUAGAGAUGUGGAGGAACACCGAUGGCGCAAGGCAGCCCCCUGGGUCAAGAU
rnacentral:rRNA from 1 species